rnacentral:misc_RNA from 1 species
GAUGAAGAACGUAGCGAAAUGCGAUAAGUAAUGUGAAUUGCAGAAUUCAGUGAAUCAUCGAAUCUUUGAACGCACAUUGCGCCCACUAGUAUUCUGGCGGGCAUGCCUGUCCGAGCGUCAUUUCAACCCUCAAGCCCCCGGGCUUGGUGUUGGGGAUCGGCGAGCCUCCGCGCCCGCCGUCCCCUAAAUCUAGUGGCGGUCUCGCUGUAGCUUCCUCUGCGUAGUAGCACACCUCGCACUGGGAAACAGCGCGGCCACGCCGUUAAACCCCCAACUUCUGAACGUUUGACCUCGGAUCAGGUAGGAAUACCCGCUGAACUUAAGCAUAUCAAUAAGCGGAGGA